AGAGUUUGAUCCUGGCUCAGGAUAAACGCUGGCGGCGUGCCUAAAACAUGCAAGUCGAACGGUCACGUGUCUUCGGACGUGUGGUAGUGGCGGACGGCUGAGUAACACGUGGGUGACCUGCCCUCGAGCGGGGGAUAACUGCCCGAAAGGGUGGCUAAUACCGCAGACAUCAUGCAUUCGGUUGUGUGAUUGAACUUGAGGGGCUCGGGGAGGGGCCCGCGGUCGAUUAGCUAGCUGGUGGGGUAACGGCCUACCAGGGCUGCGAUCGAUAGCUGGUCUGAGAGGAUGAUCAGCCAGACUGGGACUGCGAACGGCCCAGACUCCUACGGGAGGCAGCAGUUAGGAAUUUUGGGCAAUGGGCGAAAGCCUGACCCAGCAACGCCGCGUGGGUGAUGAAGGCCCUCGGGUCGUAAAGCCCUUUUCCCAGGGAAGAUGAUGACGGUACCUGGGGAAUCAGCCCCGGCUAACUACGUGCCAGCAGCCGCGGUAAUACGUAGGGGGCAAGCGUUGUCCGGAAUCAUUGGGCGUAAAGCGCGUGUAGGCGGCUUGGUAAGUCUGAUGUGAAAACUUGGGGCUCAACCCCAAGCCUGCAUUGGAUACUGCCUGGCUAGAGUCCGGGAGGGGAGAGCGGAAUUCCCAGUGUAGCGGUGAAAUGCGCAGAUAUUGGGAAGAACACCGGUGGCGAAGGCGGCUCUCUGGAACGGUACUGACGCUGAGACGCGAAAGCGUGGGGAGCGAACAGGAUUAGAUACCCUGGUAGUCCACGCCGUAAACGGUGGGUACUAGGUGU
rnacentral:rRNA from 1 species